AUUGAACGCUGGCGGCAUGCCUAACACAUGCAAGUCGAGCGGAGUGGCGGACGGGUGAGUAAUGCCUAGGAAUCUGCCCGGUAGCGUGGGAUAACGUCCGGCAACGGGCGCUAAUACCGCAUACUAUCAGAUGAGCCUAGGUCGGAUUAGCUAGUUGGUGGGGUAAAGGCCUACCACGGCGACGAUCCGUAACUGGUCUGGGAGGAUGAACAGUCACACUGGAACUGAGACACGGACCAGACUCCUACGGGAGGAAGCAGGGGGGAAUGUUGGACAAUGGGCGAAAGCCUGAUCCAGACAUGCCGCGGGUGGGAGGAAGGUCUUCGGAUUGUAAAGCACGUUAAGUUGGAAGGCGGUACCGGCAGAAUAAGCACCGGCUAACUUCGUGCCAGCAGCCGCGGUAAUAC
rnacentral:rRNA from 1 species